UACGUAGGGAGCAAGCGUUAUCCGGAUUUAUUGGGCGUAAAGGGUGCGUAGACGGGAAUGCAAGUUAGUUGUGAAAUCCCUCGGCUUAACUGAGGAACUGCAACUAAAACUACAUUUCUUGAGUGCUGGAGAGGAAAGUGGAAUUCCUAGUGUAGCGGUGAAAUGCGUAGAUAUUAGGAGGAACACCAGUGGCGAAGGCGACUUUCUGGACAGUAACUGACGUUGAGGCACGAAAGUGUGGGGAGCAAACAGG
rnacentral:rRNA from 1 species